AUCCCCUCUUCCCUCCUUGAUCGGUUCCCAGCCAGCCCCGCACCUCGCCUCAGCCUGCUCCUCUUGCGUGCGUUGCUCCCUGCUUCCCUCCCGAGCAGCCCGAGGCACCGGAGCCGCGGCCUCCCGGCUGUGUUCGAGCCGCAGUGGCAGGGUGACCGAGCCUAGCUGCAGGAGCAGCCGAGCCGCCCCAUGGGGCCUCGAUCCAACAGCUGCAGCACCUACCUCGGCCAGGAGCGCCCCAUGCCCGAAGUUGAUUCGUACACGCGUCCCGCACCAAGUAGCAGCAGCAGCAACCCCGGCCGCCCUAAGAACCUGCAGGCCAGAGCCCUCUCCUCCUCUCUCGUCUAGUCUCUUUUCCUCUCCUCAAGAUCUUUUCCUCUUUCUGUGCAUAGUGCAGCAGCAGGAGAAAGCCAUGGCGCCCACUCUCGUGUCUGCCGGAGCUGUGCCCGACACCUACAGCCUCAGGAACGGGACCCCCCAUCCGGUUAUGCCCGGCCCGCUGGCGAAGAUCCCCGCCGAAGUCACCCCUGUAGCCUCUGACGAGUUGAACCGCCCCGACCUGCAUCCCUGUUCUGGCAGUCAGAGCUCAUCUGUCUUUGUUUCAGUUUCGUCAGUUAGCGCGUGGUAAGAUUUAAGUAGAGCAGGGAUCCUUUUGUUAUCAUAGCGCUAGAGUAGCCCGGCUGGUUAGCUCAUCGGUUUGCACCCGAGAGGUACUAGGAUCGAACCCCAGGCAACCCGAAUUGUUUUGCUAUUUUGUUCUCAUGUGGUAGCUAGCAGGGUCUGCAUAUUUGCAUUUCUUCCGCUGUUAUAGCAGUAACACUUCAUCAUCGAAGUGGCAACCGAGCCACUGCAGGGCCAAUAGGUCGAGGGUUCGAGCCCCUCACGCGCCCCUUUCUUUUAUUUGGGUAUUUAUUCUUUUAAGCUGUUGUGUUGCCUGCUUAGGUGCAUAGGUAGGUUAUUUCUCCUGUUAGGGUAGUGAACCGAGCCUAGAUCAGUGGUGAUUGUCAUGUUGUGUUGUAGUAGGUAGUGGGUUCGAGUCCCCUACUCCCAUGUUAUAUUUUCUCCCUGUGUUUUUUUAGUUGCUUGCAGUAGUGUGCCACUCACAGUGGGUCCAGAGCCCACAUGUCAUACUAGGGACCCUGGUGAGUAUGACCAGUAGGACCCCCUAAGGAUUACAUGAACUUUUGUUUUGUUUAGUUUUGUGUUUUAAUUCCAAGAUCUGGAAUAUUCCAGAAGAGGAUUAUGCCAACUCUCGCAUGUCAAGAACACCCCCUGUUCUUGUUACUAGCGUAGUUUGAUCAUGUGUAGUUUUUCCUUUGCUAUUUAUGGUGUUUUUCCGCACGCAUAUAUAGAAGUGUUAUAUAUGGUUUUGGGGUUGGAGACCCCAAGGAAUCCAAUGGAAUCACUAGUUUCCAGUUCUGAACAGUUCCACAGAAGUAUCACUUGUGAUGAGGUGGCACUUGAUUACCUUUGUAGGUUGGAGUAAGAGCAUAGUUAGGGAUUGAGCAUCCAUGCAUCAUUUUAGUUAGUGCUUCCUGUUGUGCAUGUCUCUUGAACAUAGCUCCAUUCUAUGUUCCACUUGUUAACCGACUAGGAUGACAUGUAGGAUCACCGCUUCACCCCUUGCCAUGUUAACAACAUUUAAUAUUGCCGUGUACCUAAUCGGGAUAGAACUAAAUAAAUAAACGUGGAGUUUCGUCAAUAUGAAACUCGUUGCAUAUUGAGCUUCACUUAUUGUGUAGUGUUUGAUUGUUGUGAUUGUCAUGCCUUGCAGUAGACCGUUCAUGCAUCAUGUGUGUCUUGCAUCGUGUGGUGAAUAUCGUGUGUUGAUGCUUGUUUCCGGUUUUCCCCGUCUCGAUAGAGUUCCGCAAGCGUGACGGAUGUGAGGACCCGUUCGACUAUGUCAGUUCGUCUGCUUCAUGGAGGCAUUCUUCUUCCAAGCGGGAUCUCAGGCAAGAUGACCAUUUCCCCAGAUACCAUUACUAUCAUUUCCAUGCUAGUUAUUUCGAUGCUAUCGUUUAUGUCCCGUUGCCUACCACAUGUUAAAUAUCAGCCUCUCAACAGUGCCAUGAUAACCUUCAACCUGUUCGACCUAGCAAACCACUGAUUGGCUAUGUUACUGCUUGCUUAACCAUGUUGUUAGCGUUGCUAGUUGCAGGUGCAGUUGCUUCCAUGUGUAAACAUAGGUUCCUUGUUAUAUCACCAUAUUAAAUGCUAUUUAAUUUAAUGCACCUAUAUACUUGGUAAAAGGUGGAAGGCUCGGCCUUUCUAGCCUAGUGUUUUGUUCCACCUUUGCCCCCUUAGUUUUGGCUACUUGUGUUAUGUUCCAUAAUUGAGCGCUCCUAACACGAUCGGGGUUGUUAUGGGGACCCCCUUGAUAAUUCGUUUUAGAUUAAAGCUGGUCUGGCAAGGCCCAACUUUGGUACUAUUUGCCCAACAUAAUAAUUCUGAUAAUUUGAAAUGUAUAGGGAGUUAGCGCUACCCCAGGAGUAAUUCUACAUAAUACAGGGGGGCCAGUGUUGUUGGUGCUGGUCAAAAACUAUAGCCGUUUGCGGGGCCAAUCCGGGGCAACUCGGGAGAUUUCUAUCAGGCCACCGUACGCUGUGCUUAUUCGUCGUGUCCUGAGAACGAGAUACGCGACUCCUAUCGGGAUCGUCGACAAGCCGGACGGCCUUGCUGGAUUAGUUUUACCUUUGACGAAAUAUCUUGUGCAUCGGGAUUCCGGUGAUGCUUUGGGUAAUCUCAGAGUUGAGGUUUUCCACUAGGGAAUCCGACGAGAUCGUGAGCUUCGUGAUUGAGGAUUUCUAUGCAGCUUGUGUUAAUUUGUGAUGGACUAGUUGGAGCACCCCUACAUGGUUAAAUCUUUUCGGAAAGCCGUGCCCGCGGUUAUGUGGCAACGUGAAAACUUUGUUUAACACUGGUUCUAGAUAACUUGAAGUUAACUUAAUCAAAACAUGCCAACUGUGUGUGUAACCGUGACUGUCUCUUUCGUGAGUUCCUUCUCCGAUCGAGGACACGGUGGGGUUAUGUCUGACGUAGGUAGGUGUUCAGGAUCUUCAUUUGAUCGUCAGUAGUCACGUCCGUUAUGCGUAGAUCUUCCCCCUCUUAUUUUCUUGUACUUGUAAGUUAGCCACCAAAUAUAUGCUUAGCCGCUGCUGCAACCUCUCCACUUAACCAUACCUCACCCAGUAACCUUUGCUAGUCUUGAUACCUUUGGAAAUGAGAUUGCUGAGUCCCCUGUGGCUCACAGAUUACUACAACACCAGUUGCAGGUACAUGUAAAGGUUACUUGACGCGAGCGCGUUGAUUGUUCAUUUGGAGUUGNCGUUCUUCUUUUCUCGUUUGUUUUCGUCCAUAGUCGGACCCUGCUCUUACUCUUGAUGAUUAUGUAAUGUAUUGAUGUGACUCUGAUGUAGCUUGUGGCGAGUGUAAGCCAACUCUAUAUAUAUCUCUUCUGUUCAAUACAUGUACUUGUGACGAUAUCCAUUUCUUGCGACACGACGAGAUGCACUUCUAUCCCUGACGAGGCCCUCGUGCCAAAUUGAGGAUAUGGUCGCAUCUUGGGUGUGACAAGUUGGUAUCAGAGCAGUACUGACCUAGGAGCCCCCUUGAUUGAUCGAACUUGGCCGAGUCGAGUCUAGUGAAAAAACUAUUUGAGUCUAGUUAUAUAUCGGAGAGUAGGAUUCUUUUUUCUCCUCUUCUAUGCUCUGGUGAGGAAUCUUGACGUAAUAAUUUAAUUCUACUCCUCUUCUCACUCAAUUUUUUUAGGAUCACGCGGAUAUUUUGGAAUCUAUAUGAUGCCGAUGUGACGGAGUUCUGUCUUGGUGCCUCCUAUCUGCUUUGAGUUUCAAGGGAGUUGAGCUCCAGGGGAUUCUUGAGCACAUCGUUAUCAUUCAGAUUUCUUAGUAUCUCAGGACGAAGGAUGUUCGUAAUUGCUUCAAUACUAGUAGUGGCGAGAUAACCCCGAUGUCCCCAGUACUGGUGCAGAUUGUUCGGGAGUACUGCCAUACUUUGUAUCGUUGUGAUCACGAGGGUCUGUUGUAGAUGAAGGUCCGAGAUUCUGGUUGUGUGUUGACGAAUGUGGUACAGGUGACGGGUUAGUAUAGGAGUUGUGUGUUAUUACUCCUUUUAUCUGUGUACCAGAUUGCAUGACCAAAAAUUUCGGGAAUUCAUAGGUGGGAAUUCAAGUAGUUGCUUAUAAGACUAUCUUCCAACAAACGCAUGAUGUUAGGUUGGGGUUCGACAUCUAGUGGAUUCGUUUGUUCACGGUCGACUUACAGCGGUACACGUUGUGUCUUAAAGAGUCCUUGUAGCUUGCUACGACUCGGGGACGCUUCGUAUGUCGGGUGCACUGCCUUGCACUUGAUGGCUACUGUAAAAUCGAGCCCGUGCGAUCCUGUCCAUGAAAAUAUCGAACAGAAUCUUUCUCAUGAGUUUGUUCUGGCAAAUUGCAAGCCGCAUCCUUGUUUUGUUGGAAUAUGGUAAUUCAAGUUGCUUCGAUGUCAAGUGGUGAUUUCAGACCUUUCCAAGAGGUGUUCUGAUAUUUUUAUGAGAGUAUUAAUUCUUUUGCUCUAUCAAUUGUCUUAUCAAUUCCUUUCAACCGGAGUCAUCGUAUCAAUUCCAUUCAAGUGGUGUGCUUCUCUUCAACUGAAUUCAAUCUUAUCUAAUUUUGCAAGAUCAUUCUCUCUUUUAUGCCGGAGUUCAUCUCAUCUGUUACAAGUCGUCUUUGUUUUUUCCCCCGCCCUCCCACCCUUUUCUUCAGUGAUUGAAUUUUCAUCCAAGAGUUUUUCUUUUCAUGGUGCUUCCGCUGUCUGUUCUUUUCUCUCUUACCCGGUGAUUCAUUGUGAAGAUUCUCAGGAGCUUCAUGUUCAUCCUUAUUCAGUCUUGUUAUUUUUCCGGUGAAUUCAAUUUAGUUGUCCGUGUCAUCAUAUCCUUUUCGUCCUUGUAAUUCUUUCCUAUGUUGGAAAUUCUUAUCAGUCUUCUUGUUAUUCAUUCCUCUCUUUUCUAUCCGGAGUAUUAAAGACAUUUCAGUAGUUUCUCGUUUUCAAUUCUUUUAAUUAUUUCGAGGUGCUAACCUCAUCUAGUUCUCUUCAUACCGGUGCAAUAUCAAUCUUUCCAACAAUCUUUUCAACGGUGAUUUCUUUGAGUGGGCCCAUAACCCAUAGGUUUUCCCCAGGAUCUGUUAUAGCUCUUGUAAUCUUCCGGAGAUCUUUAAUUCUUUUCAACUCUGACGUAAGUAUGAAUUUCAUCAGUCAUAUUCCUUCUUCAAGAUCUAUUUGAAUUAAUUCUCAUAUUUGGCUCAACCUUUCAUUCUUCUUUUUUCCGGAGUGUCUCAUUAAUUCUUGGUGGUGUUCUCCUCCUCAUUCUCAGCUUGCUAUUCGAAGGACUGUUUCUCUCAAAUCUUGGUCUAUUCUCUUGGAUAUUCGUCAUUUCAACUUUGUGGCAUUAUCUUGAAUUGUUCCAAUCAUGAAUAAUCCCUUUCUUGCUAUUCGGUGCAUUUCUGAAUUGUUUUCAUUCUCGAUCCUCCGAAGGCCAUCAUUUCAGAAGAAUCUUUGUUCUCAGCUUUCAGCUUUCAUCCUCAUUUCUUCUCAAUUGUUGUCUAUUCGUUCGUCUCUUGAUUGUCCGGUGCCUUGUUUAAGUUUUUCUUCGCUCAGGUGGCUCAUGAUCUUUUCAUUCUCAUGUAUCUCCAUUCAUUCAUGGUUGCCUCGUUCAUUUCAAUUCUCACCGGUGUUUCUGGCAACUAUUCUUCUAGUUUGUGCUCAUAUCUCUCCUCAAUCUUUUCGGAAGAAUAAGUUGUAUGCUAGAUCCGUUGCUUGUCAUCAAUUUAACUUGAUGAAGGAUAAGCAUAACAUAAAUCUUAUUCUUGUUCACACUAAUCUGAAUUCUUCUUACGGAGUGCCUCAUGAUAUCAAUUCUUUUCUCAAGCGCUUAUCUUUCUUUUCCGGAGUGUCAAGUUCUUUUAAGUAUCACUUGGUGAGGCCUCAUCUAAAUUUUGGCAAGGUCAUAAUCUUAUUCUUUUCUACCUUCAUAUCGUUGCAUCGUUCAUUUGUAUACGGAGGUCCUUCAUGGUGGUUCAUCAAGGUUUCAAUCCAUUCUCAAGUGUUCUUCAAGAUUCUUGUUGGAGAACCUCAAGUACCCUUUCUCUUGCAUUUAUAUGUGCAAUUGUUAUUCCUUUAUCCUUUGAGGUGGGAUUAUAGCAUUCUUGUUAGUGUAGGAGUCUCGAAGAGAUUGCCUCUCAAGACGAGAUAAUUAAAUCCACCAAUUCUAUGAUCAUGAGAUAUUUUCAACCCAUGAUUUCUUCAUUGAGCUAUCUUGGUUUGGAUUUCACCUAAAGAUUUUCCUAUGGAUUGUUGUUAUCAUGGUGCUUGUCAUUAAUCCAAGUUCUCAAUGUAUGCUCUUGGUGUAAGAAUUGUUCAUAUCUUGUUUCUCCCAAUCAAUCCUUGUUUCUGUUAGUGGCUGGUUGUCACUUUAUUAGUUUGAAAGGUUUCUAUAAGCCCACUACUAUCUUGUUCUUUUCAUUGUUGUUUUUCCAACAACUCCGUCCAAUUAUUCUUGCAAGGAUGCUUGCUAAGUUCAUUGGAGUUAGUAGUUGUCAUUCUCUCUUCAUUCUCUUCUUCCGUAUGAGCUAGUCCCUAUUCUAUUGUUCGGGAGGCAUUGUGUUGUUGCUCUUUUGGGUCUAUUAUGUUGUUCUAUCAAGAUCUUGGUGCUCCCUUGUUCUAUUUAGUUGUUUGUUAUGAAUUCUGUCUAAUUCUCUCUUCUUAUCGAAUUUUUUGUCCCAUUUUCCUACCGAAGUGCUGCCGAAAUUUUCUGUGAAUUCUUGCUUGUUUCUCAUUUCAUUCCUCAUCUCUUUGCAACUUUCAAGGAUCGUUGGUUUCACUCGUUUGUCAAAGAAGGGACUAAGUUCUUACCUCUUGUUCUUUCUCAUCCUCUCCCUCCUUUCAUUCUUGGAUCUCGGGGCGAGAUCCUCUUGUAGUGUAGGAGAGUUGUGACAGCCCGAGACUGACGUUCCAGAAGAAUCCCCCCUUUAUUCAGUUUUCGUCGGGUGUCUAUUUUUUUCUUUUGUCGUAUCAUCAUCGCAUCAUUCGCAUCAUCUGUACAUUAUCGGCAUCUCCGUUGCCGCCCGUUUUCAAAACUUGCAUCCGUUGUUAGUUGCCGGUUCUCGUCGUUGUCCGUUCUGAGCCCGACCACACACGCACGCGUCUGCGGCAUCGUCGUAACCCUGUUUUAAAAGUGUGUUGAAAACUUUCUCUGAUCGGGGAAACUUGGCAUGUGGUCGUAAUUAGUUAUAGCUAGGCCGCCUGUCGAAUUUCGUCGCGAUCGGAGUCCGUCUGGUACCCGAACGGUCGACCGCAGUGGCACCGUAUUCGGUCUAUGGUCGGACGUGUUCCGGUGUUUUUAAAAAAAUACGUUGUCGGGUGCCCGUUUUCCCUCUCAUCUCCGCCUAGCCCCUCUGCACAAUGCUUCAUCCCUACGCGCAGCCCAGUCCGAAACCUCCCGGAACCCGAACCCGGCGGUCGUGACCGUUGGAUCCGGAUCAACCCCAUUUUACCGCAAAUCGUCAUUGGUUUGUCCAUUGCACUCCCAAUCCUAAUUAUCUCGACCAUCCGAUAUAAAUCGGAGGGUCCAGAUGCCCCUAUACCUAACCCACUAGCUAUAUAUAGAAUACCCUUGCCCAUUUAGGCCAGAACCCUAGAAAUUCUCCCCCGUGUCCCAUCAGCGCCGCCGCCGCACACCACCUGGUCUCCUACCUCAUUUUCCUCCACCUACCGAUCACGUACCAGAUCCAUGCCGAGCCAAACCAGAGCCAAUCCCCUCUUCCCUCCUUGAUCGGUUCCCAGCCAGCCCCACACCUUGCCUCAGCCUGCUCCUCUUGCGUGCGUUGCUCCCUGCUUCCCUCCCGAGCAGCCUGAGGCACCGGAGCCGCGGCCUCCCGGCUGUGUUCGAGCCGCAGCGGCAGGGUGACCGAGCCUAGCUGCAGGAGCAGCCGAGCCGCCCCACGGGGCCUCGAUCCAACAGCUACAACACCUACCUCGGCCAGGAGCACCCCCAUGCCCGGAGCUGAUUCG
rnacentral:lncRNA from 1 species